rnacentral:rRNA from 1 species
UACGGAGGGGGCUAGCGUUGUUCGGAAUUACUGGGCGUAAAGCGUGCGCAGGCGGCUUCUCAAGUCAGGGGUGAAAGCCCAGAGCUCAACUCUGGAAUUGCCUUUGAGACUGAGUGGCUUGAGUACGAGAGAGGUGAGUGGAAUUCCCAGUGUAGAGGUGAAAUUCGUAGAUAUUGGGAAGAACACCAGUGGCGAAGGCGGCUCACUGGCCCGGUACUGACGCUGAGGCG